rnacentral:rRNA from 1 species
AAGACUGUGAACCAUCACGAGGUUAAAGCGAAUUAGACAAGUGGCUUUGUCAAGCGGAGUGCAGUGUCGGUAUCCUCCGGGGUAUCGGUCACGGUGCCUGUCUCACCCGAGCUGCGUGCUUAGUCGCGACGGUAUGACUGAAUAAGUCUAAGAGAACCUUUCCGGAAAUUAAGCGUGAUAACGCGGGGCCAAGGCUCGUCCGAAGUCAACGUCUCAUGUGUUCAGCAGCGGUAUUACCAGCGGGCUUGCUCGUUUGGUGUUGUUGUUGCUGUACCGUGGGAGGUUCGGGCAGCCUCCUGCUAUAAGCGUUCCGGGGUUUGAGGUCUAUGCCGUCGGUUUCGAUUAUCGCUGCUGUUGGGUUUUGAGCUCGCACCAGUGCUUCCUAUUGGACGAGCGCAGCGGUCGUUUCUGCGGUGUCGUCGACAUUUGCGAGUGCGGUCGGGAACUGGUACGUCUAAUUUCACGUUCUUUUUAAGGCGUGAGAUAAUUAAAAAGGCUGUAUCAGGGACGACUGCGCGAUGAGUGUCGCGGCGGACGCUUGAAAACGAUUUCUUAGAGGCCGUUUAUCGGAGACGCGUUUUUAAUGCGCGAAAAAGCUCCGACGAACGUAAUAGUGCCUUCGCUGCGUUUGGCAUUGAAGUGCCGGCUACACGUUUAUCCGUCCCGUCUUGAAACACGGACCAAGGAGUCUAACAUGCGUGCGAGUCAAGGGGAAUUUAACACCCCACGGCGCAAGGAAAGUGAUUUUGCUUUACGCGGGC